rnacentral:rRNA from 1 species
UUAGGAAUAUUGGACAAUGGGCGCAAGCCUGAUCCAGCCAUGCCGCGUGAGUGAUGAAGGCCUUCGGGUUGUAAAACUCUUUAGCCGAUGAUUAUAAUGACUGUAGUCGGAAAAUAAGCCCCGGCUAACUUCGUGCCAGCAGCCGCGGUAAUACGAAGGGGGCGAGCGUUAUUCGGAAUCACUGGGCGUAAAGCGUGCGUAGGCGGUUUAGUAAGUUAGGAGUGAAAGCCCAGGGCUUAACCUUGGAAUUGCUCUUAAAACUACUAGACUUGAAUCUCGGAGAGGAUAGCGGAAUUUCCAGUGUAGCAGUGAAAUGCGUAGAUAUUGGAAGGAACACCAGUGGCGUAAGCGGCUAUCUGGACGAGUAUUGACGCUGAGGCACGAAAGCGUGGGGAUCAAACAGGAUUAGAUACCCUGGUAGUCCACGCCGUAAACGAUGUGUGCUUGUCGCUGGGGAGUUCACUCUUCGGUGACGCAGCUAACGCGUUAAGCACACCGCCUGGGGAAGUACGGCCGCAAGGUUAAAACUUAAAUGAAUUGACGGGGUCAUAGCUGUUUCCUG